rnacentral:lncRNA from 1 species
GCGUAGACGAGUUAAGUCCUGGUCUGCGUGGAGGUCGACGACUCCGUCGCAGACUACGGACCUGUCUGGGUCUCAGCCGCCAAAGACCCCGUCCGUACUAGCCGGACAUCAUGAGUGGCUGUCGGGUAUUCAUCGGGAGACUAAAUCCAGCGGCCAGGGAGAAGGACGUGGAAAGAUUCUUCAAGGGAUAUGGACGGAUAAGAGAUAUUGAUCUGAAAAGAGGCUUUGGUUUUGAAUUUGAGGAUCCAAGGGAUGCAGAUGAUGCUGUGUAUGAGCUUGAUGGAAAAGAACUCUGUAGUGAAAGGGUUACUAUUGAACAUGCUAGGGCUCGGUCACGAGGUGGAAGAGGUAGAGGACGAUACUCUGACCGUUUUAGUAGUCGCAGACCUCGAAAUGAUAGACGAAAUGCUCCACCUGUAAGAACAGAAAAUCGUCUUAUAGUUGAGAAUUUAUCCUCAAGAGUCAGCUGGCAGGAUCUCAAAGAUUUCAUGAGACAAGCUGGGGAAGUAACGUUUGCGGAUGCACACCGACCUAAAUUAAAUGAAGGGGUGGUUGAGUUUGCCUCUUAUGGUGACUUAAAGAAUGCUAUUGAAAAACUUUCUGGAAAGGAAAUAAAUGGGAGAAAAAUAAAAUUAAUUGAAGGCAGCAAAAGGCACAGUAGGUCAAGAAGCAGGUCUCGAUCCCGGACCAGAAGUUCCUCUAGGUCUCGUAGCCGAUCCCGUUCCCGUAGUCGCAAAUCUUACAGCCGGUCAAGAAGCAGGAGCAGGAGCCGGAGCCGGAGCAAGUCCCGUUCUGUUAGUAGGUCUCCCGUGCCUGAGAAGAGCCAGAAACGUGGUUCUUCAAGUAGAUCUAAGUCUCCAGCAUCUGUGGAUCGCCAGAGGUCCCGGUCCCGAUCAAGGUCCAGAUCAGUUGACAGUGGCAAUUAAACUGUAAAUAACUUGCCCUGGGGGCCUUUUUUUAAAAAACAAAAACCACAAAAAUUCCCAAACCAUACUUGCUAAAAAUUCUGGUAAGUAUGUGCUUUUCUGUGGGGGUGGGAUUUGGAAGGGGGGUUGGGUUGGGCUGGAUAUCUUUGUAGAUGUGGACCACCAAGGGGUUGUUGAAAACUAAUUGUAUUAAAUGUCUUUUGAUAAGCCUUCUGCUCACAUUUUUGUGAAUGUCUGAAGUAUAUAGUUUGUGUAUAUUGACAGAGCUCUUUUAUAACUAAAGCAAAUUUAAUUUUUUUGUACUAGAAAAAAAUUUGAACAUUUUAGUUCUUGGUUAUAAAAAUGUUAAUUCAGAAUUAGUUUAAUGCCUUAAUUAAACUAAUUAAUAGCUUUGGACACUUAAAAGAGCUCUAAAUUUGCUUGUACAUAAAGGCUUAAUUUGUUUUCCUUGUUAGGGUCAAGGGUGUCCUCCACUCUUUAACAGCUGCUGGACAGACACAUUAGAGCAGCUGUUUGUUAUUGAUAAUAAAAU